UACAUCCCACCUUCCUCUUUCACGUCUGGUCAGCUCCUAUAAAUAACCAACUAAGCCGGCGGCCCCUCGUCCCCGCGCUCCUCAUCCUCCUCCUCCUCGUCGCCGAGAAAUUCAGCGAUCAGAUUUACAAUUUUACCCCUAGGGUGAAGUCCUCAUGGGUUAUAAGAUGGCAUAUGAGAGUUUGUUGCGGGAUUUUCCUCAGGUGGAUUCUCGUGUACUAAAAGCUGUUGCUAUUGAACACCCUAAUGAUAUCAAAGCAGCAGUCGAAUUUAUUGUUUCUGAAGUUUUACCAUCUUUCACCGGGCGUUCUGAGGUAUCUGACACUGUUCACAGUGCUCAUGAGGUAUCUAAUGAGGUUCCGCUGGGAGAGCCCCCUAUUGAGAAUCAAGGAGAAAAACCAAUUCAACCGGAAUCAAUGGCAUGCGGAACUUUCAUUGAUGGUGAUUUUGUUAGUUUCGCAAAUCCUUCCAGUGUACUAAUUGAAGAUGACGAUGACGAGAUCAUUGUUCUUGAAACAGACAGUCAUUAUUCUUCAGUCUCAAUUUUGAAAGAACAUGCAGUUUUUAUUGGGCAUGACUCUGUAGUGAAGGAUAUCGAAAAAUCUAUAAGUGAAGACCAACUAUCUAGGUGUUCAGUUGACGUUGUUGAUACUGUAUCCAUUGCCUUGGAACCUUCCCAUGAGAUAACACUUUCUGUUAAUGAGAAAAUUAUGGAUCGGGUUGGGAACGAGGAUAAAGUGCCAAAGGAUUUCAUUGCUGCUUUUGGUGAAACUGAAGAUCAUUCAAAGCGUUUACCCAAGAAUUGUCCACAAAAAUUGGCUUGUAUUUCUGAGGUGAUUUCCCUUGAUAAAAAUGAUCAACACAUGGUUCGAUCUACUCGAUCAGCCCGUGUAGUAAACAUUGAUCUUCUUGAAGAUUUCAUCGAGAAUGCGAAAAGCAGUAAGAAAAGUCUAGUAUCUGAGGUGGAGUCAGUUGUUAAUAUGAUGAAAGAGGCAGAGGUUCUUGAGGAGAGAGCAAAACAGGCUAAAGAAGAAGCUUGCAUAGCUGGUCAGGAUAUCCUUAUAAAAGUGGAGGAACUCAAACAGAUGUUGCAACAUGCUCAACGAGCAAAUGAUAUACAUGCUGGUGAAGUAUAUGGAGAGAAAGCUGUUCUAUCAACUGAAGCUCGGGAACUUCAGUCUCGUCUUCUCAAAUUGUCGGACGAAAGGGAUAAAUCUGUUUCAAUCAUCAAUGAGAUUCGUGAAACUCUUGAAGCACGACUAGCUGCUGUAAAGGAUGAAAUAGCUGUAGCUGAGCAGGAGAAAUUCGAGAAGGAACGAGUGGCCCAGAAGGCUUUAAAAGAACAAGAAGACAUUAUGGAGACCAUAGUACAAGAGUCUAAAAAACUGCAGCAGGAAGCAAAGGAAAAUGGCAAGUUGAGGACUUUCUUGGAGGACCGUGGUCAAGUUGUAGAUACCUUGCAAGGAGAAAUUGCUGUGAUUUGUGAGGAUGUUAUAUCACUUAAAAAUAGAGUCGAUGAGCAUGCUCCACUCAGGGGAUCACUGCUAAUGACAACAUACAGCUCGUCCUCUUUGUUCAGCUCAUAUAGUCAAAAGAACAUUCCUUCAGCAGAUGAGUUGCCUGUGGAAGUAGAUGAGAACAAUAGAGAUAGCGGCGAAGACCAAUCGGGAAGUCGGGAGCAAGAAAACAUAGCUGCGAGCAGUGUGCAGAAAUCAGCUUCAGAUAAUGACUGGGAAUUCUUGAAAUAUGAAGGUUUCCCAUCAUAAAAAUUAAGUCCUUGAAAAUUUUGAUUGAAAUUAUGAAAUUUGUGCACUACAAAGACGUCACCUUUCCUCCUGUGAACAUGUAGGUAUCAUAAAUUGGAUGACGGGCCAAUGGGUUGAAGACUGUUGGAUGAUCACUGACGCUAAGUUUUCGAGUGAUCAGGCAAAUAGUACGGAUGGAUGAAAAUGACG